UCCAGGGUAGCCAAGGGUAAAUGGAAUCUGUCCGGUAAGCGGAACACUGUGGGUUCGAUUCCCAUCCCUGGAU